rnacentral:lncRNA from 1 species
GAAGCAUUUACAUUUUGACCUGCAGGAUCCCUGUGGACUGCAGAGUUGAGCCCUGCCAUCCAGACUGCCUUUCUGCUUCAUUUUGCUCCUGACCUAAACCCCCCUGCUAUUCCAGGCCUGGCCUCUCAUGACCAGAGACUGCUGACUCAUCCUGGCCUGUGCCAAGCUGUGCAGUCGCUUAGUGAUGUGGACAGGAGUCGAAGGACUAGAAUGAGAUCACUGAACUCAUUUCACUUGUUGCUUACGGUACAGUCCAGCAUGAGCUGGAAAUGUAGGAACCUCAGCCUCCCGAGCAGAAAGAUGUUUACUAGAUGCUGCUUUGGACAUGACUCCAGGAGACCAAUAUGGAAAGAGUCAAAGUUAAACAUGUUUCUCCUUGGAUUUAAAUGAAAAUCUCAUGUUCAUCCCUCCAUGUGAACAAUCAACUUUGUCUCAAGUGGAUACUACAAAAUUGGAUACUUCAGUUCAACCUUCUUCAGGUAUUAUACCUCUGAUUU